rnacentral:rRNA from 1 species
GACGAACGCUGGCGGCGUGCUUAACACAUGCAAGUCGAACGGAAAGGCCCUGCUUUUGUGGGGUGCUCGAGUGGCGAACGGGUGAGUAACACGUGAGUAACCUGCCCUUGACUUUGGGAUAACUUCAGGAAACUGGGGCUAAUACCGGAUAGGAGCUCCUGCUGCAUGGUGGGGGUUGGAAAGUUUCGGCGGUUGGGGAUGGACUCGCGGCUUAUCAGCUUGUUGGUGGGGUAGUGGCUUACCAAGGCUUUGACGGGUAGCCGGCCUGAGAGGGUGACCGGCCACAUGGGGACUGAGAUACGGCCCAGACUCCUACGGGAGGCAGCAGGGGGGAAUAUGGCACAAUGGGCGGAAGCCUGAUGCAGCAACGCCGCGUGCGGGAUGACGGCCUUCGGGUUGUAAACCGCUUUCGCCUGUGACGAAGCGUGAGUGACGGUAAUGGGUAAAGAAGCACCGGCUAACUACGUG